CCCAGACUCCUACGGGAGGCAGCAGUGGGGAAUAUUGGGCAAUGGAGGCAACUCUGACCCAGCAACGCCGCGUGAGUGAUGAAGGUCUUCGGAUUGUAAAACUCUUUAAGUGGGGACGAAGAAAGUGACUGAACCCACAGAAUAAGCCUCGGCUAACUACGUGCCAGCAGCCGCGGUAAUACGUAGGAGGCAAGCGUUAUCCGGAAUGACUGGGCGUAAAGGGUGCGUAGGUGGUUCGGCAAGUUAGUAGCGUAAUUCCGGGGCUCAACCUCGGAACUACUACUAAAACUGUUGGGCUUGAGUGCAGGAGGGGCAUAUGGAAUUCCUAGUGUAGCGGUGGAAUGCGUAGAUAUUAGGAGGAACACCGGUGGCGAAGGCGGCCUGCUGGACUGCAACUGACGUUGAGGCCCGAAAGCGUGGGGAGCAAACAGGAUUAGAUACCCCUGUAGCA
rnacentral:rRNA from 1 species